CACACGUGGGUGGGAGAUGUACGUUAGCUCAAUGUCUAUGGGGCUGGUGAUCUAAGGUCUGCCGACUUCCUCUGCAGAGAAAUCAGCUCAUCCUCCGGGGUCCAGGUAUUGUGUGUCACCUGUGGCAUAGCAUGGUCCAGAAGAGCAAGAAAGGAAGAUUAUCCAUGAGGUGUGGAAAAAACAUCUAGAGAUGCUAUUCAGAGCCAGAAAUGAUAGCCUUGAGCGGGAGAGAUGGCUCGGCAGUUAAGAGCACCGACUGGUCUUCCAGAGGUCCUGAG